AUACCUUUCUCGGCCUUUUGGCUAAGAUCAAGUGUAGUAUCUGUUCUUAUCAGUUUAAUAUCUGAUAUGUGGGCCAUAGGUCCACACGAUAUUAAAUUUAUUUUUUAAGGGGGAAGUCCCACCACAAUAGCUUGCUAUUGGGGUCUUCGCGUGUCGCCCAAGUGUUGCACUACUGCUCGGGCCUGGCACACCCCAC
rfam:Daucus carota subsp. sativus cultivar DH1 chromosome 6, whole genome shotgun sequence.